UGUAGCAGUUUUGUUCCCACUGCAAGAAAUUUGCAGCCCAAUCAGAUUGCUGCGUUCAAGUGGGAAACCUUACAGCUCAAUUUAGCUGACAAGGCGAGCUGGGACACUGUAUUUCUCUGGAGAAUGCAGAAACAGCUCCUGCUGGAUAUCUAGGCUACUAGAAAAGAAGCAUAGUCUAUCUUAGCAUCUAUGAAUGAAGCUUGAACAGUAUGUAUUAAUUAAUUAAAAGGACUUGUCUUUGUUUUAAGUUUUGUUGUGCUACCAAUAAGAUUAGAUCAUUAGUUUGGACAAAACCUGUGUUAUGUAUGCCUUCUUUGGUCUUCGAAAAGCUUCUCAGAAGCCUUGGGGUAGUCUUAUAGCUGGCUGUACCUCUCCUUGUGCUAGAUGUCUAACUAUUAUGAAAAAGUUUAUUUCUGCCUGUACUAAAUCUUAUAUUACAGGCUACAGUAUUCUUCUACUUUCUCUAAGAGUCUGAGGUCUUUCUUGAAUUCCAAAACAACUAUAGCUAGAUCCAGUCAGCUAGAAUAGCCAUCCAAAUAGUUAAUUGAUUUCUUUAUAUCGCACCCCUGAGCCAUGCGGUUGUCAGCCACUUAAAGAUUAAACAAUAUUCAUACUCUGUCUCAAGUACCGGUGGAACAAAACUGCUAUGUGUACUGAUACCCAACCCUAGCCUCGUUCCCAGGCCUUACUUUUUCUUGCUGUUGUCACUGUUCAUCCAUAAAUCACAAGAAAGACAUAGUGAGGCAGCAAAGAAAGAAAUGGGCGUACAGUUAAGAAAAAAGUAAGUCUCCUUUUUCCUAACUCUACGUCUAUUUCUUUCUUUAUUCCUUCAAUUAAUACCGUAUUUUAUCUCAUUGAACGAUUAAGACAGUAUUUUAUCUUAUUGAACGAUUGUGAUAAAGAACAGAAAAAGGAGAGCCUGUGUAGAGGCUAACCCAACCCAGAGCGCAGCGUUGGUUGGACUCCGCCCAACUAGGAGGGAGGUAACCAGAAACAAGACAUUGAUUAACAUUGGCCUUAUUAUUUUGUGAGAUUUUGUUGGCCUGGAAAGAAAAAAACCCUUCUACCCUCCCUCCAGAAUGCAAUACCUGGCAAGCCGAAACUUACUGAGUAUGCUGAAGAAAAGAAGACAAAAGAAUACCCCUCUUCUCUACACCCCUACACGUCACCGCCCUCGUAAAUGUUAUCGGCUGUUCCGGCUAUAUAUACACCCUUGUAUACCUCACCAGCUUCUCUCCAUCUAAGACUGUCUGAUUAGAGUGCUAAACUAAUCAUAAUUAUAGCUAUAAUAAUCAUUUUUAUCGUGUAAGUUUUUGUUAAUAUUGUUCGGUUUGAUCCCACUCGUUUUACACUUAAAAA